rnacentral:snRNA from 1 species
AUCACUUCUUGGCCUUUUGGCUAAGAUCAAGUAU